GGGGAAUAUUGGACAAUGGGCGCAAGCCUGAUCCAGCCAUGCCGCGUGAGUGAUGAAGGCCUUCGGGUUGUAAAGCUCUUUUGGCGGGGACGAUGAUGACGGUACCCGCAGAAUAAGCCCCGGCAAACUUCGUGCCAGCAGCCGCGGUAAGACGAAGGGGGCAAGCGUUGUUCGGAAUUACUGGGCGUAAAGGGCGCGUAGGCGGUCCUUUUAGUCGGACGUGAAAGCCCUGGGCUCAACCUGGGAGGUGCGUUCGAUACUGGGGGACUUGAGAGUGGGAGAGGUUGGUGGAAUUCCCAGUGUAGAGGUGAAAUUCGUAGAUAUUGGGAAGAACACCGGUGGCGAAGGCGGCCAACUGGACCAUUUCUGACGCUGAGGCGCGAAAGCGUGGGGAGCAAAC
rnacentral:rRNA from 1 species